CCUCCCCCAAAAUAAAUUCACCUUUUUUAUUUUCUAAACAAUCUUCUUCUUCUUUAUUUUCAAAACAAUUCCUCUGAGAGAAAACUGGUUCCACUGUCUACUUUCUCUGGAAAAAUUUUGUUCCGUAGCCUGGCGGAUAAUCUUGAACAGCAAAGGCAAUUCUCCUUGGCGGAUAACGGUGUUGUCGGUAUUGUGUAUUACCGCGAGAGGACGAGAUCACGGUUGAACGAUGAGACCAUGGGGGAAGAACACCACCAUGCUGCUGCCUGCUAUGGUUCAGUGGGUUACCGUGGCGAGUCCACGAUGGAGGAAGGCGCGAAAAUCGCGGGUUCAGUCUCAGAUUUGCAGCAGUCAACGAAGGACAACGAAUCAAUCGAGAUGUUGCAGGUUUGAUCUUUGCAGCCAGAAACCCCGAUUGAAAUGGGUUGUCUGAGGGCCUAAUGGCACUAUAAAAACUUUCUGAAUUCUGAUAAUUGUUGGAUGAAUUUGUAUGAUAAAAUGGUUUAUUUUCAGAAAGAAUUUUGUUCUCUGUUGAAUGAAACAGUGUAAGGGAAUAAAGUUCAAAUUGUUGGGUUAAUUUAGGCCUAGGUUCAAAUGGGUUGUAGGAUAGGAUUUCGAAUGAUUGGGUAUUUUUGUAAGUUUUGGAUUCUACAGGAAAAUUCUUAGAUGACGAUUUCGAACUUUCGAUCAAAA